AUGAAGUCAAUUAAGGGAUUGUUCAUCAGCAGAAAAAUCUGUACUCAGCUAGUUGAAGAAACAUGCAAGAUCUCCUUUGUGAAGGUAUCUUUAGAAUAAAACUUCAGGUGUCAUUGCAAGCUGAAGCCCAGAUUUGUGGGGCCUCUUGGGAACCUGGCCAUACACCUGAAAAUCUGUUGUGUCACAGCUGAUGGGAAUCACACACCUGGUUGUCAUGAGCCACCUUUACACGUCUGUGAACAAAGAAGUAAAUCUCUCCUGUGCAUUGGGCCUACAUGCCUGCUCUUGAGGGAGUUGUUCUGGUUGCAAUGUUAAUUUUGAAAGAGGAGUUGAAGUUUGCUCGUUGCUGCACAUGGUCACUGGGACAUUGGCUGCUAUUUCAGAUUUUAUUUUCAAAAAAAAUGCAGGAACCAGCACAUAGGAUUUGACUGUGCUUCUGUUGAAACAGUAGGAGAAGACAGAGACCACCAUGAAGGACAGCUCAUGGAAAAAUGACAACCAAUAACCCAUUACAAAGCCCAUGGGAGCCAUUAGCUGCAUGGGGGAAAGGUCAAUGAAGGCUUACAAAGGAAAAGUGACUUUUCAGUUCUUCUGCCUUAUUUGUUUCAGACACUGAUUUCAGACAAAUCACAUUGUAGUUACACCAAUGUGGUAAGAAAAUCAGGAGAGUGGGUCGUGCUUGCUGGAUUUAUUGGCCUGGAGGAGCCACAACACCAGCGUCUCCUUACUCAGGAUCCCUUUCAACACAAGCUCCCUGUGUGUCCUUGAGCUGCUGGGCUGCCUCUGCUGUCCCUGCAGGGACAGGUACCUGGGGGCAGGAUGGUGGAGCAGGUUUGGGCUCCUUUUCCUGUGUGCUGGGUGGGUGACGUUCCAGGCUGUGCUGUGGCAGUGUGAUGUGGAGCAGAGCAGCCCCAGCCCACCUUUGAUGCUGUGCUCAGGUUAGGCCACAAGCACAGCAGCUGAGAGAGUCUUGCAGAAUCUGGGACACCUGUGUGCCCUGGUGCAGUGUGUCCCAACACUGCACUGAAUGAAGAUGUACGUGUGCCCUGUGCCUCUGGAAUUCUGCAGGAAGGAAUGCCCAAGGCAUGGGCGCUGCAGCUCUUCCCAGCUUCCUUGGAAAGCUCCUGCUGCCUUCUUUCUUCACAGGUGAGUGAACAGCAGCUCCUUUCCUCCCUUACUCUUGGUGCUUGGCUGGGGGAGUCUGACAGCCCUGGCCUCGGCCCCUCCUGCCAGCACAGGACUGUGCUGCAAACAUCUGUGCUGAGAGACAAAUGAGAGAGCAUUUGUGCUGCCUCUGAGAGCCCAGGGUGUUGAAGAGGUGGCUCCUUUCAUCACAACAUGGAACACAGAGGGUCUAGCAAUGGUCAGCACUGGGCACAAAACCUUCCAGUGAGGCUCUGCCAUGAAGUGGGAACAUCUGCCUUCCUUAUGUCCUGGCCUCUUGAAGGCCACAUGGUCACUGUCAGCCUUGGCCUUUGAUGCAGACUGUGAACAUGCAACAUCACCUGCAGUGCCUGGGGAUGAGACCCUGUGAGCACAGCACAAGUGCUGACACAAAUGUUUCUACUUAAUGAACUUCAAAAAACUCUGUUUUCUGAGAAGCCAACCACAGACCUCUUUGUCAGUGUGUGGUGUGGAAAAGAGUGUGGCACCAGCUUUAUAUCCUGCAAACAAUGCAUUACUUAAGUGUAGCUAUUGACUAGAUAUUCCCAUAUAAAAAUGAGCUCCAAUUACAAAAACUAUUAAUAAUGUUUUUCCCAUUCCUUGUAGAUUCUGUUUAUGCAUUUGUUAACAAAACAGUUGCUAUAGUUGCACUGAAUGGUCUGGGUAUAAAAUGUAUUAAUUCUGAGGAUAAACAUGUUCAGUAGAAAGUUACACAUGAUCUUGCCAAUGUGUUUGCCAUAAUUUUUUGAUAGCUCAAUUGUUUGAUCUUCUGACAGGAGCACCUGUGCUUGUUAUUGCUUGUGUUAAUUCCUGUUAUCAGCAUAGACAUUCAUAUCCAUGGGUCCAUAUCUCACAUACAGCAUGCACUGAACCUACCAUAUUAUUUUGGAUAAAACCCCACCUUCUUAGCAAUACACUGGCUCCAUGCACACUCCCCCCACACUCCUACUUACCCAUUACCUUCUCAGCAAACAACUGAUUGCUUUGUCACUCCAGAAAAUGUUUGAAUGCAAGAAACUUGUUUACCACUGUUCAGAAUUGUUCAGAUAUUGCCUCCUGGAUCUGAAGAGUGUUAUCUUUUAGUAAUAUGAGCUAAUGUCAAAGAGAAAUGCACAGAAAUUCUUUUAUUUGAGCCUUUACUAACAGAAAUAAUAGAAUUUCAGAAAAUUAAACCAUCUAGGUAAAAUUAAGACCAUAAGCAAAAAAGGACUG